CAGCUGAAAAUAUCAAGUGCUACCUGUUGGGGUGGCCAAAGGUUACUAAAUGCAACAACAGGAAAGCAGGAAUGUGUGCAGUGCAAGACCACAUCUCCCACGCUUGUAGUUUUAUUUUUCCCUAAAAAAUGGAAAAUAAAAUAUCUUAAAACAAAACCCUUUGAACUAAGAUAAUAUCUCCAGCUGGAAGAAAAACAAAAAGAAAAUAUCUUCAAAGCACUGUAACUGUUCUGCACUCUGUGGCUACUACCGUCACCCAAUAAAUCAUCUCUCUUUGGAAAGAAAUCACACUUUAAUUUCUGCACAAUUUAUGUAGAAACAGAUACACUUUUUAAUCUAUUUCUAAUCUAACAUUUUCCCCAAAUUAGAAACCACGGAUGAGAGAGGGUUGGAUAGCUCUUGCUUUGAGUUAAGAGAGAAAGAGUUGGGGGUUCUGGGUUCGAACGUGGACAGAGAAAUAGAUCUAAAUUUAACAACUAAUUACUAACCUUUGUCAUUCGUAAAAAGAAAAAAGAAAAAAAGAAAAAAAAACCAACAUGAAGAACUUAGAUGCACAGAGAUCUGUUAGAGUUCACACUCAAAGCAGAAACCCUAACUAACCAGCAAUUCACUGAAAGAGAUGGCAGUGGAAGAUAUACCUGAUGCCGCUACGGUUGUGGCGGAGGACUCUGUUCUAUGACGGUGAGAGUGAGAUUGUGAAUCUGUGAUGGUGGUGUUGUUGACGGAUCAAUUAGUUUUAGUUCAGAAACAAUCUCC
rnacentral:lncRNA from 1 species